rnacentral:rRNA from 1 species
CGGCGGACGGGUGAGUAACGCGUGGGGAACCUACCUCGCACCGGGGGAUAACAGCCGGAAACGGCUGCUAAUACCGCAUAAGCGCACAGCAUCGCAUGAUGCCGUGUGAAAAACUCCGGUGGUGUGAGAUGGACCCGCGUUAGAUUAGCUAGUUGGUGGGGUAACGGCCCACCAUGGCGACGAUCUAUAGCCGGCCUGAGAGGGCGACCGGCCACAUUGGGACUGAGACACGGCCCAAACUCCUACGGGAGGCAGCAGUGGGGAAUAUUGCACAAUGGGCGAAAGCCUGAUGCAGCGACGCCGCGUGAACGAAGAAGUAUCUCGGUAUGUAAAGUUCUAUCAGCAGGGAAGAAAAUGACGGUACCUGACUAAGAAGCCCCGGCUAACUACGUGCCAGCAGCCGCGGUAAUACGUAGGGGGCAAGCGUUAUCCGGAUUUACUGGGUGUA